GGAGGAGGAGGAGGAGGAGGAGGAGGAGACCAGCAGGCUUCUACCUUUAUGUAAAGCCCACUCAGCAGCCCCAAACUGCAACCUUCCACUGGGCUCCAUAAACUGGCCUAAAACUCUGAUUCCUUUUCUGGAGGGCUGCCAGGAAAAACAACACACCUAAAAGCUUUAGUUUAAAAAUGAGCAAACACACUAUGUUUGGUGUGAUUCUUUACAGAGGAGUAGAUAGCAAGAAAUACUCAAACUCAGAGCUGAAAUAAAUCAAUUAGUAACAAAGAAAACAAUACAAAGACUCAAUGAAAGAGUUGGUUCUUUGAGAUCAUCAACAAGAAAUCCUUAUCCAAUCAAACUAAAAGGCAGAGGCAAUAUCCAAAUUGGCAAAAUCGGAAAUCAAAAGGGGGCUAAAAACAACAGACAAUGAGGAAAUCUAAAGAUUCGUUAGGUCUUACUUCAAAAACCUGUACUCCACAAAAUUGUAAAUUCUAAAUAAAAUGGACAAUUUUCUUGACAGAUACCGUUUGCCAAAGAUAAAGCAAGAUUGAAUAAACAAUUUAAAGAUGUAUUCUUAGGAUAAACAGAAAAGGAAAGACUAUGUCUUAACAAUGCUAUGCUUGUGUGUCAAUUUACAUAGGGAUCAAUUAUCCCAGCUAGUUUUACCUGAACUUGACAAAGGCUACAUUCAUCUGAAAGUUGGGAACGUCAAUUAAGAAAAUCUGUCUAUAAGAUAAAACUGCAGAGCAUGUUCUUAACUAGGGAUUGAUGUGAGAAGGCCCAUUCCAUUGUGGACAGUGCUAUUGAAUGGCUGGUGGUACUCAGUUCUAUAAGGAAGCAGGUUGCAGGCCAUAAAGAACAAGAGGAUAGGCAGCACUCCUCCGCGCAUCUGCAUUUUCUCCUGCCUCCAGGUAACUCCCCCGUUAGAAUUCCUAUCCUGAUUACCUUCAGUAAUAUGGAAGUAUAAGCCGAGUAAAUCCUUUUUUUCUCCAAUUUGUUUUUUAUUGUAGUGUUUUAUCGUAGCUAUAGAAGCCCUACCUUAGACAAGGCCUCUACAGAGAGCCUCUUAGAGAUUGCUCCUGACACAAGUGUGCAUGCAAAAUGACAGACUAAGAAGACAAAAGUAUCAUCUACAACAGUUGGUUCAAGUGUCUCAUGUAUUCUUCAAUAAGACUGUGCCCAUCCUAAGUUAAAUACCAAACGAGGAAGAGAGAAUGAACUCAAAACAGGACUCUAGUGCUUUCCUAAAAAUGGCCUCAUCACUGUGCAUAAAUGUAGAACAAAUUAUUUAGACUCUAAUCAUUGUUUCAAUAAAGCAAGCAUCUUUGGAGAGGAGAGGCUGCUCAGAUUUACAUUAAAUGUGGUGCAGAAAGGAGAGAGUUAGGUUAAAAUCAGGUGAGCUCAUCUACAGUAGCAAGUUCUCUCUCUCUCUCUCUCUCUCUCUCUCUCUCUCUCUCUCUCUCUCUCUUUGCUUCAUCUUCAUUUUUCUCUUUUGACUAGUCAAAAUGAUUAAGUUUUAAGCCAGUGACAUAUAGUAUAAAUGACCCUAGAUUAUGAUGAAAGUUUUAAUUAUUGCUUGCUAAGUUUUUUUUGUAUAGACAUAACUUCUUCCAAAAUGACACGGCAUUCCCUCUUAUUGUUUAUUCUGUAAAGAAGAAAUGGAUUAAUAGGCCAGGUGUAGUAGUGUAUAGAUCAAACAAAAUGUAAGAUUUGUUGUUUUAUUUUCCAAGUUCUUUCUAAACCAGAAACUUGUUUGCUGCCUUUUGAGAAGUAUGUUCAAGUAGUCAUUGAGACCUGUGCCAAGAACCAGCCCAAGCUGAUGGCUGUGGUUAGUGGAAAUCUUAUUUGUUUUGUGAAUCAGAUCCAGUGGGGAGAAAAAAAAGGCAACUUUUGAACAAAAUUGUAAAAAGAAACAGGUCUAAAAAAAAUUGAAAUAUUUAAUCCAAAGAAAAUAAUAAUGAUUAAGUGGAAAAUAAUGUUCAUACCCUCUUAUUUUGACUUCACACACUGGAAGCUUUUUUAUGGUCCUAUAGUGCUGCUGUCACUGUGGAGAGUUGUGCUCCAUCAGCAGUAGUUUACUGAUGAUAUUUCUCUCAGUCUUGGGUUAAAUAGUGGCACGAAAAAGUAGUUGGUAAAUUUCAUUGAUAACUAUUUUGAGUGAAAAUUUGUCAACUAAUACAGGGCUUUAUCUAGAAGAGCACUCCUAGUAAGUCUUUAGCUGGACAGCUCUAGCAGGGCAUGGCUAGUUUCUAAGCAUAGAGUUGAACUUGGCUCAAGAGGUCUCUCCUCCAGGUGCUGACAUGACCUUCUUUCUGAAUAAAUUAGCUUCAGUUUUGGAGGAAAUAUCAGCAUAGAUACUUAUCCAAUCACAAUCCAUGUCCAAAAGUACCAUAUUAAUUCCUACUUGGCAAAUUAAUGUAGAAAAUAACCUAGAAAAAAUAGUCUUUUUAACUAACUGCCCUUGGUGAGCACUGAGUUUAUUGUUCUCCUACUUUAACAGCAUCUUCUUUCCCCUAAAGGACAACCACUUCAUUGUAUAUUUUUAAAUUGAAUUUCAACUUUUUAUGUAUAGUCCUCUCAGUGAAAACUUUUUAGAAUUGUUUUAUUUUCUGUCAUGAUAAAAAAACAAUGUAGGCCAUAAAAAAAGUUUCACCUGUUUGGCAAGGUUAAUGGUAGUUUGCCAUAGUUGGUAUUAAAAUGUUAUGGUCAUCAAGAGUCAUCAAGCCUCUACAAGACCAAGCUUAUCCCCUCCCAUUGAGGGCAGACAAGGCCAUGUAUGCUCCUCAGUAGGUGGCUUAGUCUCUGGGAGCCCUGAGGGGUCUGAUGAGUGGAUAUUGUUUAUCUUCCUUUGGGGUUACAAUCUUCUUCUGCUCCUUCAGUCCUUUCCCUAACUCUUCCAAAGGGGUCUCUGAUCUCUGUCCAAUGAUUGUCUGUAUCUGAAUCUGUCUCAGUCAGUUGUCAGUAGAGCCUCUCAGAGGACAGCCAUGUCAGACUCCUGUCUGCAAGCACAACAUGGCAUCAGCAAUAAUGUCGGAGUUUGGUGCCUGAGCAUGGAAUGGAUCCCAUGUUGGGCUGUCUUUAAAUGGCCUUUUCUUCAGUCUCUGCUCCAUUAUUUUCUCUGCAUUUCCUUUAGACAGGAACAAUUCUGAGUCAAAAUCUUUGAGAUGAGUAGAUGGCCCCAGUUAUGAUGAAUGUUAUUUAACUUCUGUUUAAUGUUCUUUCAACUCGAGGUGUUCUUUGAAUAAUGUCAAGCAUCCCAUUAAUAUUUUGAAAUAGUAAGAUAGCACUUACCCACAAUUCUAUAGCCAUCUAAAUUUUACUCUAAAUAGAAUUAAUGUGUACAUAAAUUACACAUUAAUUCUAUUUUUAUUUUCAUGAUAAAGUUUGGUUACUUUUUGCAUCUAAAAUUGUUAUUGGGAAACUAUGUUUUCCAUCAUAGAGCUUUAGAAACAAAAGGGAUGUUUCAAACAGCUAAAACAAAUAUCUUGUCCUGUCUAAAAGAACUACAGAGAUAAAAAUGGAGCAGGGACUGAAGGAAUGGCCAACGAACAACAAGCCCAUCCCCUAGGCAAAGACCAGUUCCUGACACAAUGAUACUCUGUUCUUCUUGCAGAUUGGAGCCUAGAAUAGUUGUCUUCUGAGAGGCUCUACCCAGCAGCUGAUGAAACCAAAUGCUGAUACCCACAGUCAAACAUUAAAAGGAGGUCGGGGACUCUUGUGGAGGAGUUAUGGGAAGGAUUGAAGGCCUGAAGGAGAUAGGAACUCUAAAAGUCCAACAGAGUCUAGACCUUUGGGACCUUUCAGAGAUUGAGCCACCAACCAAAGAGCUAACAGGAACUGGACCUAGGCCCCUGGCACAUAUGUAGCAGAUGUGCAACUUAGUCUCCAUAUGGGUCCCCCAAAACCUGGAGUGGGAUCUGUCCAUAAAGCUGUUGCCUGACUGUAGAAUCUGUUUUCCCCAACAGGGCUGCCUUAUCUGGCCUCAGUAGGAGAGAAUUUGCCAAAGUCAGCAGAGACUUGAUAGUACCAUGGUUGGAGGAUACCCAGGGAGGAAAACUGAAUUACCCAGAACCAAACUCCAAAUUUCAAGGAAGAAUCAAGACCAUACUCUUGCACUUGAUGUCCAGGACAAUUGGACAGACACACCUGCUGAGAGUCUAGAGGAGCCCAUUCGUCUCAGGAACAAUCAGCCUCCAACCCCUGCUACGUGAAUUAUACUCCCCUUCUGGUGGUGCCUUCUCCCAUGGCAGAGUACCAGCUUGUCUGCUCCUCAGAACACACCACAGUCUCAAGGCCUCCCAGGAGAUCUGUUGCAUCCAGGGCCCCACUGCCUGAAGGCCUCAUAGGAGCAGCCUAUUGCUAUUAAAAUCGCCACUCCCACUCUGACUAAGUUAACAGAAGCUUAACUGACAGGACCAUGGGCAUAGUGAUGAGGCUGGAGAUGAAGAACAGGAGAGGAUGAAGAAGUUCAGUAGAGUGCUUUGACUUCUACAACUAUCAAAAAUGCCCAUCUGACUGUUUAUCUCUCACUCCAGUUAAUGACUCAGGAAAUGGAACUCAACUUGGAUCUCACUAUGGAUCUCAGGAUGGACUUUUCUGCCACCACCUCCUGUGCACUGAUUUACAAGUGUGCUCCAUCACAACGGGAUUUGCACUUAGAGGAUGGGAACCUGACCAGUACCAGCAUGCAUGAUUCACAAAAUCCACUGUUAUCAUUUCUAUUAUGUUAACACAGAUGUAUUUUUCUUUAUAUUUAUUUCAAAUUCUUAAAGAUAAUAAAUUUAAAAUUUGUGA